rnacentral:rRNA from 1 species
GAUGAGCGCUAGCGGCAGGCCUAAUACAUGCAAGUCGAACGGUGUCUUCGGACAUAGUGGCGCACGGGUGCGUAACACGUAUGCAACCUACCUUACAUUGGGGGAUAGCCUUUCGAAAGGGAGAUUAAUACCGCAUAAGACAGUAGCUGGGCAUCCAGCAGCUGUUAAAGAUUUAUCGAUGUAAGCUGGGCAUGCGUCCAAUUAGCUAGUUGGUGAGGUAACGGCUCACCAAGGCAAUGAUUGGUAGGGGAACUGAGAGGUCAAUCCCCCACACUGGCACUGAGAUACGGGCCAGACUCCUACGGGAGGCAGCAGUAGGGAAUAUUGGGCAAUGGACGCAAGUCUGACCCAGCCAUGCCGCGUGCAGGAUGAAGGCGUUAUGCGUUGUAAACUGUUUUUAUACAGGAAGAAACGACUCUUGCGAGAGGCAUUGACGGUACUGUAUGAAUAAGCACCGGCUAACUCCGUGCCAGCAGCCGCAGUAAGAC